rnacentral:rRNA from 1 species
UAGCAUACAAGUACUGCGAAGGAAAGAUGAAAAGAACUUUGAAAAGAGGGUUAAAAGACUUGAAAUCGUUAGAAAAGGAAGCAGUAAAAGAGAAAUUAUUCACCAAGUAGUUGGAAAUUAUUCUAAGUUAGGAGGUGGAGAGUAUCUAACAGAGCUCUUGCCAUCUAAUGAAAAAUAAGUGACUUUACUUGAGUGAUAGACAAAAUGAUAUUGAAUUGCAAGAAUAAGGUGAAGGAUGUAUUUCCUAGCUCGAAGUUGCAAAUCAGUAUGAGGGAUCAGAUGAUGAUUUUGUCAAAAUGGCUUUUACUGACCCGUCUUGAAACACGGACCAAGGAGUCUACCUAUUAUGCGAGUGUUAAGGUGGAGAAAACCUAAACGCGUACCGAAAGGGAUGUAAGAUGUGAAGCGCAAGCUGCAACAUCAACCAAUCUUGAUUCUCUGAAGAAGGACUUGAGUAAGAGCAUAAUCGGUAGGACCCGAAAGAUGGUGAACUACGGUUGAAGUAGGGUGAAGCCAGGGGAAACUCGUGGUGG